UACGAAGGGGGCUAGCGUUGCUCGGAAUCACUGGGCGUAAAGCGCACGUAGGCGGAUUGUUAAGUCAGGGGGUGAAAUCCUGGAGCUCAACUCCAGAACUGCCUUUGAUACUGGCGAUCUUGAGUCCGGGAGAGGUGAGUGGAACUGGCGAGUGUAGAGGUGAAAUUCGUAGAUAUUCGCAAAGAACACCAGUGGCGAAGGCGGCUCACUGGCCCGGUACUGGACGACUGAGG
rnacentral:rRNA from 1 species